UGGGGAAUAUUGGACAAUGGGGGACCGUAGCAUCCAGCCAUGCCGCGCUGUGUGAAGAAGGCCUUUUGGUUGUAAAGCACUUUAAGCAGGGAGGAGAGGCUAAUGGUUAAUACCCAUUAGAUUAGACGUUACCUGCAGAAUAAGCACCGGCUAACUCUGUGCCAGCAGCCGCGGUAAUACAGAGGGUGCGAGCGUUAAUCGGAAUUACUGGGCGUAAAGCGAGUGUAGGUGGCUCAUUAAGUCACAUGUGAAAUCCCCGGGCUUAACCUGGGAACUGCAUGUGAUACUGGUGGUGCUAGAAUAUGUGAGAGGGAAGUAGAAUUCCAGGUGUAGCGGUGAAAUGCGUUAGAGAUCUGGAGGAAUACCGAUGGCGAAGGCAGCUUCCUGGCAUAAUAUUGACACUGAG
rnacentral:rRNA from 1 species